GGGUCAGUAGGUUGGUCGUGCUACCGGUACGUACUGGUCUCGCUGAUUCCUCCUUCCUGAAGAACCGUAAUGCCAUUAAUUUGGUGUUGCGGGGAAACAGGACUGUUACUUUGAAAAAAUUAGAGUGUUUAAAGCAAGCUAACGCUUGAAUACAUUAGCAUGGAAUAAUGAAAUAGGACGAUCGAUCCUAUUUUGUUGGUUUCUAGGAUUGACGUA
rnacentral:rRNA from 1 species